UAUUGCUGCUCGGGGGCGCGGGGAGCGUUGUGAACUGUUCUGUGUAUCAGGUGCAGGGCAAGCGUUCUGCUGCCAGCAGCAGCGAGCCUCCGCUCCAGGCUCUCGCCAGGCGGUUCCUAGGGGAAUCAGAAGGCGCCGGCCUUUGCCACCUUGAUUGGCAUUAGGCGAGACUUCCGUGAGCUAUGCGUGUUUCCCUUAUAUGUAAGGAGCCUUUCCUCUCCGCGGUAGGCGAGAAGAUGGGAUAACCGGCUGAUUUUCUUCUCCCGGGGUGGGGUGGGGGAAGCUCCAGAACCAUGCGAGUCCUAGGGAGACCGGGUAACACCGGGGCACAUCAGCGUCCUUGUGUGCUCCACGGCCUCGCUUCUUUGAUGAAAGGCUCCAGGGCACCAGCGGUCACCACCGGGCCAUCUCAUUGGAAGGGACCUGCACAGGACAGCGAGUCCAGCUCACCGCUUUUGGAGGAAAUGUGGUUUAUGAAGAUUUCUCAGUGUGAGAUCUCGUGAACCGUUCCUUUAACUAAAAACCAAACCAGAUAUUCCUUCUCCUCUACUUGCCUGUGGCUGCUGGAAACAUCAGCAAAGUCCUUGGUGAAUUCCUGCUGUGGUUCUAUUGCGAUCGUCCAGGUGUUGUUAGAGAGUGCUGACUGAUUUGCCAUCUGAUCGAUCUGAUUUUUGUAACCCGGCAGCUCCUCUCCAAACCCGUGAACCAGCCGUGGAGAGUGGCCUCGGAAAGUGUUCCAGGGACGGACUUUCUGCAGUAUGAUGACCUGUAAAAGCGGCCUUUCCAACGACAUUUCAAACUCCAAGUCAGUCGUGUCAAAGUUGGAACCAGGGCUGGGGAGGAUAAUGGGUCAGAUGCAAUUAGCAGCUCAGAGAGCUGCACGUUGCAGUCUGAUUUAUUUUUUUGCCCAUCAGAUUCCAAGAAUCCUAGUGCUUAAAAGCAAUGAAACAAUUGCCCUAUUGUACUGAAAUAAAGCCCAGUUAAUUCAAAAAUCAGUUGCACCACCAGGUGGGGCACAUUGUGGCCCAAACAGAUGGGGUCGAAAACUUCCCCCAAAAUGCAGUCUUGUUAAAUUAAAAACUUGAUCCAGGGUGGGACAAAUAGGGAGCUGUGAAUGGAAUGGAGUCAGGUCCACCCAAGCGAAUUCUUUCUUCUUCCACUCCUUUCCUGGCCUGUAAGAGAGAAAAAUGCACCAUUCCACUUUCAUCAGAGCUAGCAUCUAUGCAGCAACGCAGCCAUCCGCCAUCUGCAGUAAAUGUGUUACUUUAAUUAGUCUGAAAAUUAAAGGGCAACGCUGGGCCAAUGUGAAUGAUGAUGAAAAUACAUGUGCAUCCCAUGCAAUCGUCUCAUUUAAUUAAUAGUCUUGUAAACUGUACGGCUCACUUUAAGUCAGUCGAGAGGUAUAACAACUCCAUUUUAAAUAUCCACUUAAUACUUAACAGGCUGUGAGGAACACACUAUAGCAUACAGCCCCUGCUCAGGUUUCACUGUCUGAAAUUUUUCAAAGCUGACCCAAGUCAACCCGAAAAAUGUUUAACACCCUGGGCUUGAACACAAGCAACUCUGUGAUGAACAGACAUUCAAUUACAUUUUGAAAAAGUGAGAAGCAUUUUUGUAAAAUAGCGACCCUGGAAACUAAUUGGCAGCCACAGAACUUGUGAGCGAAGGCCAAAUCUUGUGGGGAACUUUUACUACACUAACACGACUCAAAGAACAUGUGAAUAAAAGGCAUCUUUGUUUCCCAGUCAAAUUAGUUGAUUAAGAAAUAAAACGU